GAUGAACGCUGGCGGCGUGCCUGAUACAUGCAAGUCGAGCGAAGCGGGGACGGGUGAGUAAUACGUGGAUAACCUCCUAUAAGACUGGGAUAACUUCGGAAAAACGGAGCUAAACCGGAUAGUUCGAGUUGGCGACGCGCUGCAUUAGCGAGUUGGUAAGGUAACGGCUUACCAAGGCAACGAUGCAUAGCCGACCGGAGAGGGGGAUCGGCCACACUGGAACUGAGACACGGUCCAGACUCCUACGGGAGGCAGCAGUAGGGAAUCUUCCGCAAUGGGCGAAAGCCUGACGGAGCAACGCCGCGUGAGUGAUGAAGGUCUUCGGAUCGUAAAACUCUGUUAUUAGGGAAGCGUUACCUAAUCAGAAAGCCACGGCUAACUACGUGCCAGCAGCCGCGGUAAUUC
rnacentral:rRNA from 1 species